AGAGCCGCGGAGCCGAGACGGCGGCGGCGCCCGUAGGAUGCAGGGAUCGCUCCCCCGGGGCCGCUGAGCCUGCGCCCAGUGCCCCGAGCCCCGCGCCGAGCCGAGUCCGCGCCAAGCAGCAGCCGCCCACCCCGGGGCCCGGCCGGGGGACCAGCAGCUUCCCCACAGGCAACGUGAGGAGAGCCUGUGCCCAGAAGCAGGAUGAGAAGAUGGCAAACUUCCUAUUACCUCGGGGCACCAGCAGCUUCCGCAGGUUCACACGGGAGUCCCUGGCAGCCAUCGAGAAGCGCAUGGCAGAGAAGCAAGCCCGCGGCUCAACCACCUUGCAGGAGAGCCGAGAGGGGCUGCCCGAGGAGGAGGCUCCCCGGCCCCAGCUGGACCUGCAGGCCUCCAAAAAGCUGCCAGAUCUCUAUGGCAAUCCACCCCAAGAGCUCAUCGGAGAGCCCCUGGAGGACCUGGACCCCUUCUAUAGCACCCAAAAGACUUUCAUCGUACUGAAUAAAGGCAAGACCAUCUUCCGGUUCAGUGCCACCAACGCCUUGUAUGUCCUCAGUCCCUUCCACCCCAUCCGGAGAGCGGCUGUGAAGAUUCUGGUUCACUCGCUCUUCAACAUGCUCAUCAUGUGCACCAUCCUCACCAACUGCGUGUUCAUGGCCCAGCACGACCCUCCACCCUGGACCAAGUAUGUCGAGUACACCUUCACCGCCAUUUACACCUUUGAGUCUCUGGUCAAGAUUCUGGCUCGAGGCUUCUGCCUGCACGCGUUCACUUUCCUUCGGGACCCAUGGAACUGGCUGGACUUUAGUGUGAUUAUCAUGGCUGCCUCUGUCUUGGGAACUCUGUUUUUUCCAAUGAGUAUUCAGGCCACCUCCACCUCAUGAUUUCAAGGACUUCUGAGCCAGGCACAAGCUGAUCAACAGAUCACAGAAGAUGUGAACCAAAACUAGGACCAGAAAUGCACUUGCUUCCUGUAUCACCUGACCUGAGCCUCCUGGAAAACAGGCUUCUCUCUUCACUCUGAUGUGUCCCCAGCCCCAGACUCCACAUGUGGUUUCAUGUCAUGGGUCCCAGUGGUGUGGCGAGAGUGGCAGAGUGGUUGCCUUCUAGCACCAGUUAUCCUUAGCACCAUCACCAAGAGAGCCACCGGGAAGCUUGCUGUGUGGACAUCCUUACGGCACUCAAGCCGAAGUCCUAUGUUAGGAGGGUUGAAAUCCAGAAGAAAACCUGAGGGAGGCCCUGGGCUAUCCACAGCACUGCCCCCACCCCCGUGGGAGGGGGCCAAGGGAGAGGGCUGGUCGGGGAGGGCAGGCGGUGGUUCUGCUUUGUAAUUCCCAAUAACUGUGGUUUGAUUCUGCAGGUAUGUAUCAGAAAAUAUAAAACUAGGCAAUUUGUCGGCUCUUCGAACUUUCAGAGUCCUGAGAGCUCUAAAAACUAUUUCAGUUAUCCCAGGGCUGAAGACCAUCGUGGGGGCCCUGAUCCAGUCUGUGAAGAAGCUGGCUGAUGUGAUGGUCCUCACAGUCUUCUGCCUCAGCGUCUUUGCCCUCAUCGGCCUGCAGCUCUUCAUGGGCAACCUAAGGCACAAGUGCGUGCGCAACUUCACAGCGCUCAACGGCACCAACGGCUCCGUGGAGGCCGACGGCUUGGUCUGGGAAUCCCUGGACCUUUACCUCAGUGAUCCAGAAAAUUACCUGCUCAAGAACGGCACCUCUGAUGUGUUACUGUGUGGGAACAGCUCUGACGCUGGGACAUGUCCGGAGGGCUACCGGUGCCUAAAGGCAGGCGAGAACCCCGACCACGGCUACACCAGCUUCGAUUCCUUUGCCUGGGCCUUUCUUGCACUCUUCCGCCUGAUGACGCAGGACUGCUGGGAGCGCCUCUAUCAGCAGACCCUCAGGUCCGCAGGGAAGAUCUACAUGAUCUUCUUCAUGCUUGUCAUCUUCCUGGGGUCCUUCUACCUGGUGAACCUGAUCCUGGCCGUGGUCGCAAUGGCCUAUGAGGAGCAAAACCAAGCCACCAUCGCUGAGACCGAGGAGAAGGAAAAGCGCUUCCAGGAGGCCAUGGAAAUGCUCAAGAAAGAACACGAGGCCCUCACCAUCAGGGGUGUGGAUACCGUGUCCCGUAGCUCCUUGGAGAUGUCCCCUUUGGCCCCAGUAAACAGCCAUGAGAGAAGAAGCAAGAGGAGAAAACGGAUGUCUUCAGGAACUGAGGAGUGUGGGGAGGACAGGCUCCCCAAGUCUGACUCAGAAGAUGGUCCCAGAGCAAUGAAUCAUCUCAGCCUCACCCGUGGCCUCAGCAGGACUUCUAUGAAGCCACGUUCCAGCCGCGGGAGCAUUUUCACCUUUCGCAGGCGAGACCUGGGUUCUGAAGCAGAUUUUGCAGAUGAUGAAAACAGCACAGCGGGGGAGAGCGAGAGCCACCACACAUCACUGCUGGUGCCCUGGCCCCUGCGCCGGACCAGUGCCCAGGGACAGCCCAGUCCCGGAACCUCGGCUCCUGGCCACGCCCUCCAUGGCAAAAAGAACAGCACUGUGGACUGCAAUGGGGUGGUCUCAUUACUGGGGGCAGGCGACCCAGAGGCCACAUCCCCAGGAAGCCACCUCCUCCGCCCUGUGAUGCUAGAGCACCCGCCAGACACGACCACGCCAUCGGAGGAGCCAGGCGGGCCCCAGAUGCUGACCUCCCAGGCUCCGUGUGUAGAUGGCUUCGAGGAGCCAGGAGCACGGCAGCGGGCCCUCAGCGCAGUCAGCGUCCUCACCAGCGCACUGGAAGAGUUAGAGGAGUCUCGCCACAAGUGUCCACCAUGCUGGAACCGUCUCGCCCAGCGCUACCUGAUCUGGGAGUGCUGCCCGCUGUGGAUGUCCAUCAAGCAGGGAGUGAAGUUGGUGGUCAUGGACCCGUUUACUGACCUCACCAUCACUAUGUGCAUCGUACUCAACACACUCUUCAUGGCGCUGGAGCACUACAACAUGACAAGUGAAUUCGAGGAGAUGCUGCAGGUCGGAAACCUGGUCUUCACAGGGAUUUUCACAGCAGAGAUGACCUUCAAGAUCAUUGCCCUCGACCCCUACUACUACUUCCAACAGGGCUGGAACAUCUUCGACAGCAUCAUCGUCAUCCUUAGCCUCAUGGAGCUGGGCCUGUCCCGCAUGAGCAACUUGUCGGUGCUGCGCUCCUUCCGCCUGCUGCGGGUCUUCAAGCUGGCCAAAUCAUGGCCCACCCUGAACACACUCAUCAAGAUCAUCGGGAACUCAGUGGGGGCACUGGGGAACCUGACACUGGUGCUAGCCAUCAUCGUGUUCAUCUUUGCUGUGGUGGGCAUGCAGCUCUUUGGCAAGAACUACUCGGAGCUGAGGGACAGCGACUCAGGCCUGCUGCCUCGCUGGCACAUGAUGGACUUCUUUCAUGCCUUCCUCAUCAUCUUCCGCAUCCUCUGUGGAGAGUGGAUCGAGACCAUGUGGGACUGCAUGGAGGUGUCGGGGCAGUCAUUAUGCCUGCUGGUCUUCUUGCUUGUUAUGGUCAUUGGCAACCUUGUGGUCCUGAAUCUCUUCCUGGCCUUGCUGCUCAGCUCCUUCAGUGCAGACAACCUCACAGCCCCUGAUGAGGACAGAGAGAUGAACAACCUCCAGCUGGCCCUGGCCCGCAUCCAGAGGGGCCUGCGCUUUGUCAAGCGGACCACCUGGGAUUUCUGCUGUGGUCUCCUGCGGCAGCGGCCUCAGAAGCCCGCAGCCCUUGCCGCCCAGGGCCAGCUGCCCAGCUGCAUUGCCACCCCCUACUCCCCGCCACCCCCAGAGACGGAGAAGGUGCCUCCCACCCGCAAGGAAACACGGUUUGAGGAAGGCGAGCAACCAGGCCAGGGCACCCCCGGGGAUCCAGAGCCCGUGUGUGUGCCCAUCGCUGUGGCCGAGUCAGACACAGAUGACCAAGAAGAAGAUGAGGAGAACAGCCUGGGCACGGAGGAGGAGUCCAGCAAGCAGCAGGAAUCCCAGCCUGUGUCCGGUGGCCCAGAGGCCCCUCCGGAUUCCAGGACCUGGAGCCAGGUGUCAGCGACUGCCUCCUCUGAGGCCGAGGCCAGUGCAUCUCAGGCCGACUGGCGGCAGCAGUGGAAAGCGGAACCCCAGGCCCCAGGGUGCGGUGAGACCCCAGAGGACAGUUGCUCCGAGGGCAGCACAGCAGACAUGACCAACACCGCUGAGCUCCUGGAGCAGAUCCCUGACCUCGGCCAGGAUGUCAAGGACCCAGAGGACUGCUUCACUGAAGGCUGUGUCCGGCGCUGUCCCUGCUGUGCGGUGGACACCACACAGGCCCCAGGGAAGGUCUGGUGGCGGUUGCGCAAGACCUGCUACCACAUCGUGGAGCACAGCUGGUUCGAGACAUUCAUCAUCUUCAUGAUCCUACUCAGCAGUGGAGCGCUGGCCUUCGAGGACAUCUACCUAGAGGAGCGGAAGACCAUCAAGGUUCUGCUUGAGUAUGCCGACAAGAUGUUCACAUAUGUCUUCGUGCUGGAGAUGCUGCUCAAGUGGGUGGCCUACGGCUUCAAGAAGUACUUCACCAAUGCCUGGUGCUGGCUCGACUUCCUCAUCGUAGACGUCUCUCUGGUCAGCCUGGUGGCCAACACCCUGGGCUUUGCCGAGAUGGGCCCCAUCAAGUCACUGCGGACGCUGCGUGCACUCCGUCCUCUGAGAGCUCUGUCACGAUUUGAGGGCAUGAGGGUGGUGGUCAAUGCCCUGGUGGGCGCCAUCCCGUCCAUCAUGAACGUCCUCCUCGUCUGCCUCAUCUUCUGGCUCAUCUUCAGCAUCAUGGGCGUGAACCUCUUUGCGGGGAAGUUUGGGAGGUGCAUCAACCAGACAGAGGGAGACUUGCCUUUGAACUACACCAUCGUGAACAACAAGAGCCAGUGUGAGUCCUUGAACUUGACCGGAGAAUUGUACUGGACCAAGGUGAAAGUCAACUUUGACAACGUGGGGGCCGGGUACCUGGCCCUUCUGCAGGUGGCAACAUUUAAAGGCUGGAUGGACAUUAUGUAUGCAGCUGUGGACUCCAGGGGGUAUGAAGAGCAGCCUCAGUGGGAAUACAACCUCUACAUGUACAUCUAUUUUGUCAUUUUCAUCAUCUUUGGGUCUUUCUUCACCCUGAACCUCUUUAUUGGUGUCAUCAUUGACAACUUCAACCAACAGAAGAAAAAGUUAGGGGGCCAGGACAUCUUCAUGACAGAGGAGCAGAAGAAGUACUACAAUGCCAUGAAGAAGCUGGGCUCCAAGAAGCCCCAGAAGCCCAUCCCACGGCCCCUGAACAAGUACCAGGGCUUCAUAUUCGACAUUGUGACCAAGCAGGCCUUUGACGUCACCAUCAUGUUUCUGAUCUGCUUGAAUAUGGUGACCAUGAUGGUGGAGACAGAUGACCAAAGUCCUGAGAAAAUCAACAUCUUGGCCAAGAUCAACCUGCUCUUUGUGGCCAUCUUCACAGGCGAGUGUAUUGUCAAGCUGGCUGCCCUGCGCCACUACUACUUCACCAACAGCUGGAAUAUCUUCGACUUCGUGGUUGUCAUCCUCUCCAUCGUGGGCACUGUGCUCUCGGACAUCAUCCAGAAGUACUUCUUCUCCCCGACGCUCUUCCGAGUCAUCCGCCUGGCCCGAAUAGGCCGCAUCCUCAGACUGAUCCGAGGGGCCAAGGGGAUCCGCACGCUGCUCUUUGCCCUCAUGAUGUCCCUGCCUGCCCUCUUCAACAUCGGGCUGCUGCUCUUCCUCGUCAUGUUCAUCUACUCCAUCUUUGGCAUGGCCAACUUCGCUUAUGUCAAGUGGGAGGCUGGCAUCGACGACAUGUUCAACUUCCAGACCUUCGCCAACAGCAUGCUGUGCCUCUUCCAGAUCACCACGUCGGCCGGCUGGGAUGGCCUCCUCAGCCCCAUCCUCAACACUGGGCCGCCCUACUGCGACCCCACUCUGCCCAACAGCAAUGGCUCUCGGGGGGACUGCGGGAGCCCAGCCGUGGGCAUCCUCUUCUUCACCACCUACAUCAUCAUCUCCUUCCUCAUCGUGGUCAACAUGUACAUUGCCAUCAUCCUGGAGAACUUCAGCGUGGCCACGGAGGAGAGCACCGAGCCCCUGAGUGAGGACGACUUCGAUAUGUUCUAUGAGAUCUGGGAGAAAUUUGACCCAGAGGCCACUCAGUUUAUUGAGUAUUCGGUCCUGUCUGACUUUGCCGAUGCCCUGUCUGAGCCACUCCGUAUCGCCAAGCCCAACCAGAUAAGCCUCAUCAACAUGGACCUGCCCAUGGUGAGUGGGGACCGCAUCCAUUGCAUGGACAUUCUCUUUGCCUUCACCAAAAGGGUCCUGGGGGAGUCUGGGGAGAUGGACGCCCUGAAGAUCCAGAUGGAGGAGAAGUUCAUGGCAGCCAACCCAUCCAAGAUCUCCUACGAGCCCAUCACCACCACACUCCGGCGCAAGCACGAAGAGGUGUCGGCCAUGGUUAUCCAGAGAGCCUUCCGCAGGCACCUGCUGCAACGCUCUUUGAAGCAUGCCUCCUUCCUCUUCCGUCAGCAGGCGGGCAGCGGCCUCUCCGAAGAGGAUGCCCCUGAGCGAGAGGGCCUCAUCGCCUACGUGAUGAGUGAGAACUUCUCCCGACCCCUUGGCCCACCCUCCAGCUCCUCCAUCUCCUCCACUUCCUUCCCACCCUCCUAUGACAGUGUCACUAGAGCCACCAGCGAUAACCUCCAGGUGCGGGGGUCUGACUACAGCCACAGUGAAGAUCUCGCCGACUUCCCCCCUUCUCCGGACAGGGACCGUGAGUCCAUCGUGUGAGCCUCGGCCUGGCUGGCCAGGACACACUGAAAAGCAGCCUUUUUCACCAUGGCAAACCUAAAUGCAGUCAGUCACAAACCAGCCUGGGGCCUUCCUGGCUUUGGGAGUAAGAAAUGGGCCUCAGCCCCGCGGAUCAACCAGGCAGAGUUCUGUGGCGCCGCGUGGACAGCCGGAGCAGUUGGCCUGUGCUUGGAGGCCUCAGAUAGACCUGUGACCUGGUCUGGUCAGGCAAUGCCCUGCGGCUCUGGAAAGCAACUUCAUCCCAGCUGCUGAGGCGAAAUAUAAAACUGAGACUGUAUAUGUUGUGAAUGGGCUUUCAUAAAUUUAUUAUAUUUGAUAUUUUUUUACUUGAGCAAAGAACUAAGGAUUUUUCCAUGGACAUGGGCAGCAAUUCACGCUGUCUCUUCUUAACCCUGAACAAGAGUGUCUAUGGAGCAGCCGGAAGUCUGUUCUCAAAGCAGAAGUGGAAUCCAGUGUGGCUCCCACAGGUCUUCACUGCCCAGGGGUCGAAUGGGGUCCCCCUCCCACUUGACCUGAGAUGCUGGGAGGGCUGAACCCCCACUCACACAAGCACACACACACAGUCCUCACACACGGAGGCCAGACACAGGCCGUGGGACCCAGGCUCCCAGCCUAAGGGAGACAGGCCUUUCCCUGCCGGCCCCCCAAGGAUGGGGUUCUUGUCCACGGGGCUCACUCUGGCCCCCUAUUGUCUCCAAGGUCCCAUUUUCCCCCUGUGUUUUCACGCAGGUCAUAUUGUCAGUCCUACAAAAAUAAAAGGCUUCCAGAGGAGAGUGGCCUGGGUCCCAGGGCUGGCCCUAGGCACUGAUAGUUGCCUUUUCUUCCCCUCCUGUAAGAGUAUUAACAAAACCAAAGGACACAAGGGUGCAAGCCCCAUUCACGGCCUGGCAUGCAGCUUGUCCUUGCUCCUGGAACCUGGCAGGCCCUGCCCAGCCAGCCAUCGGAAGAGAGGGCUGAGCCAUGGGGGUUUGGGGCUAAGAAGUUCACCAGCCCUGAGCCAUGGCGGCCCCUCAGCCUGCCUGAAGAGAGGAAACUGGCGAUCUCCCAGGGCUCUCUGGACCAUACGCGGAGGAGUUUUCUGUGUGGUCUCCAGCUCCUCUCCAGACACAGAGACAUGGGAGUGGGGAGCGGAGCUUGGCCCUGCGCCCUGUGCAGGGAAAGGGAUGGUCAGGCCCAGUUCUCGUGCCCUUAGAGGGGAAUGAACCAUGGCACCUUUGAGAGAGGGGGCACUGUGGUCAGGCCCAGCCUCUCUGGCUCAGCCCGGGAUCCUGAUGGCACCCACACAGAGGACCUCUUUGGGGCAAGAUCCAGGUGGUCCCAUAGGUCUUGUGAAAAGGCUUUUUCAGGGAAAAAUAUUUUACUAGUCCAAUCACCCCCAGGACCUCUUCAGCUGCUGACAAUCCUAUUUAGCAUAUGCAAAUCUUUUAACAUAGAGAACUGUCACCCUGAGGUAACAGGGUCAACUGGCGAAGCCUGAGCAGGCAGGGGCUUGGCUGCCCCAUUCCAGCUCUCCCAUGGAGCCCCUCCACCGGGCGCAUGCCUCCCAGGCCACCUCAGUCUCACCUGCCGGCUCUGGGCUGGCUGCUCCUAACCUACCUCGCCGAGCUGUCGGAGGGCUGGACAUUUGUGGCAGUGCUGAAGGGGGCAUUGCCGGCGAGUAAAGUAUUAUGUUUCUUCUUGUCACCCCAGUUCCCUUGGUGGCAACCCCAGACCCAACCCAUGCCCCUGACAGAUCUAGUUCUCUUCUCCUGUGUUCCCUUUGAGUCCAGUGUGGGACACGGUUUAACUGUCCCAGCGACAUUUCUCCAAGUGGAAAUCCUAUUUUUGUAGAUCUCCAUGCUUUGCUCUCAAGGCUUGGAGAGGUAUGUGCCCCUCCUGGGUGCUCACCGCCUGCUACACAGGCAGGAAUGCGGUUGGGAGGCAGGUCGGGCUGCCAGCCCAGCUGGCCGGAAGGAGACUGUGGUUUUUGUGUGUGUGGACAGCCCGGGAGCUUUGAGACAGGUGCCUGGGGCUGGCUGCAGACGGUGUGGUUGGGGGUGGGAGGUGAGCUAGACCCAACCCUUAGCUUUUAGCCUGGCUGUCACCUUUUUAAUUUCCAGAACUGCACAAUGACCAGCAGGAGGGAAGGACAGACAUCAAGUGCCAGAUGUUGUCUGAACUAAUCGAGCACUUCUCACCAAACUUCAUGUAUAAAUAAAAUACAUAUUUUUAAAACAAACCAAUAAAUGGCUUACAUGA